CCUCAACUGAGGACUCGGGAACUUCACUGACCAGGCAGGACUAGAGAUCGGAAGAAGUCUAGGCUUCAGCCUUCCCCUUAAUUCAAGAGUUAGGGCCUUUCUACGUUGCCCAGGCUGGAUUGGAACUCCCAGGCUCAAGCAUCAUCCCACCUCAGCCUGCCGAGCAGCCGGGAUUACAGGUGCACGCCACAUGGCAGAUUUUUUUUUUUUUUUUAAGUUUCUUAAAUGAAUGAGUAAAAA